rnacentral:rRNA from 1 species
AUUGAACGCUGGCGGCAGGCUUAACACAUGCAAGUCGAGCGAGCGGCGGACGGGUGAAUAAUGUCUGGGAAACUGCCUGAUGGAGGGGGAUAACUACUGGAAACGGUAGCUAAUACCGCAUACUAUCAGAUGGGCCCAGAUGGGAUUAGCUAGUAGGUGGGGUAAUGGCGCACCGAGGCGACGAUCUCUAGCUGGUCUGAGAGGAUGAUCAGCCACACUGGGACUGAGACACGGCCCAGACUCCUACGGGAGGCAGCAGUGGGGAAGAUUGCACAAUGGGCGAAAGGCUGAUGCAGCCAUGCAGCGUGUAUGAAGAAGGCCUGAGGGUUGUAGAGUACUUUCAGCGGGGAGGCGUUACCCGCAGAAGAAGCACCGGCUAACUCCGUGCCAGCAGCCGCGGUAAUUC